UGCAGGAAGAAGGUGUCCGCCUGGUCGGGAUGCGUCAGGAAGCAGCUGAAGUCGCACCACCAGCAGCUGUUUCCCCUGUGCUGACGUACAGGUUCCAGGGGUAAAGAUUUGGUCGGGUGAGCUUACACAAGUUCCACUUCCAUAAGCCACAAAACCCACCAUCCACACGCUGCCUGGACACAGUGAAAGACUGUUACCUGUCCCUCUAUCCACACCUGCCCCUGAUCACCUGUGUGCUCCCUUUGUACUUCCCCUUACUGCUCCCCCUGGUGGUUAACUAACGAAAUGAUAAAUGGCUCCUGCACACGUGUUCAUGGCAGCCACCGACACCAUGGCUGUCCCCCUGCUGGACCGGGACCGCAUGGAGGGGAUCUGGAGGACUCAGAGGAAGCACGUCGCCUGCAUCCAGGAUCCUGCCGGCGUCCGGUUGUACAAACGCACUGGACAGCUGACGUGCAACCAGGUCGUUCUGCCGGUGUAUCGCUGUGCCCGCGGGUCCACAUCGCUGGAGUCGUUCCACCUGCACCUGAACAGGUUCA